UACGAAGGGGGCUAGCGUUGCUCGGAAUUACUGGGCGUAAAGCGCACGUAGGCGGAUUGUUAAGUCGGGGGUGAAAUCCUGGAGCUCAACUCCAGAACUGCCUUUGAUACUGAAGAUCUUGAGUUCGGGAGAGGUGAGUGGAACUGCGAGUGUAGAGGUGAAAUUCGUAGAUAUUCGGAAGAACACCAGUGGCGAAGGCGGCUCACUGGACCGGCAUUGACGCUGAGGCGCGAAAGCCAGGGGAGCAAAGCGGG
rnacentral:rRNA from 1 species